AUUUAUAUAAUUUAAAAUAAAAUAUUACAUUUUCAAUGUAAAAAUAAAAUUAAUAUUUUUAUAAAUA
rnacentral:tRNA from 1 species